UACGUAGGGUGCAAGCGUUGUCCGGAAUUAUUGGGCGUAAAGAGCUCGUAGGCGGUCUGUUGCGUCGGCUGUGAAAACCCGGGGCUCAACCCCGGGCCUGCAGCCGAUACGGGCAGACUAGAGUUCGGCAGGGGAGACUGGAAUUCCUGGUGUAGCGGUGAAAUGCGCAGAUAUCAGGAGGAACACCGGUGGCGAAGGCGGCGACCUGGUCCGUGACUGACGCUGAGGCGCGAAAGCGUGGGGAGCAAACAGG
rnacentral:rRNA from 1 species